rnacentral:rRNA from 1 species
GAUGAACGCUGGCGGCGUGCCUAAUACAUGCAAGUCGAGCGAACAGACGAGGAGCUUGCUCCUCUGACGUUAGCGGCGGACGGGUGAGUAACACGUGGAUAACCUACCUAUAAGACUGGGAUAACUUCGGGAAACCGGAGCUAAUACCGGAUAAUAUAUUGAACCGCAUGGUUCAAUAGUGAAAGACGGUUUUGCUGUCACUUAUAGAUGGAUCCGCGCCGCAUUAGCUAGUUGGUAAGGUAACGGCUUACCAAGGCGACGAUGCGUAGCCGACCUGAGAGGGUGAGCGGCCACACUGGAACUGGGACACGGUCCAGACCCCUAGGGGGGGCAGGAGUAGGGAAACUUCCGAAAUGGGCGAAAGCCUGAAGGAGCAACGCCGGGGGGGUGAAGAAGGUCUUCGGAUCGUAAAACUCUGUUAUUGGGGAAAAAAAAAUGUGUAAGUAACUAUGCACGUCUUGACGGUAACUAAUCAGAAAGCCACGGAUAACUACGU